AGAGGGGUGCGAGCGUUAAUCGGAAUUACUGGGCGUAAAGGGUGCGUAGGUGGGCCUUUCAAGUCAGAUGUGAAAGUCCUGGGCUUAACCUAGGAACUGCAUUUGAAACUGAGAGGCUAGAGUUUGGAAGAGGGAAGUGGAAUUUCCGGUGUAGCGGUGAAAUGCGUAGAUAUCGGAAGGAACACCAGUGGCGAAGGCGACUUUCUGGUCCGACACUGACACUGAGGCACGAAAGCGUGGGGAGCAAACAGGAUUAGAUACCCUGGUAGUCCACGCUGUAAACGAUGAGAACUAGAUGUUAUUUGGCUUAUGUCAGAUAGUAUCGUAGCAAACGCGUUAAGUUCUCCGCCUGGGGAGUACGGCCGCAAGGUUA
rnacentral:rRNA from 1 species